UACGGGGGGGGGCAAGCGUUGUUCGGAAUUACUGGGCGUAAAGGGCUCGUAGGCGGCCAACUAAGUCAGACGUGAAAUCCCUCGGCUUAACCGGGGAACUGCGUCUGAUACUGGAUGGCUGGAGGUUGGGAGAGGGAUGCGGAAUUCCAGGUGUAGCGGUGAAAUGCGUAGAUAUGUGGAGGAAUACCGAUGGCGAAGGCAGCCUCCUGGGCCAACACUGACGCUCA
rnacentral:rRNA from 1 species